GUAUGGGACCUUGUACUUGGCCCAUUUGCAUGGGCUCACUUCUCCAGCCUGUCCAGAUCCCUUUGGAUGGCAUCCCUUCCCUCCAGCAGGUGACUACACCACACAGCUCAGUGUCACCAGUGAAGUUACUGAGAAUGCAUUCGGCCCCACUGUCCAUGUCCUCUACAAAGAUGUCACUCUGAAGGUUUUCACAAGAACUGCAGAGACAUAUUUUAUUGAAGCAACCCUUCUCUGAGUUAGGAAUCAUUUAACCUGGAAAUGAGGUCCUCCUACAAAGGCUUUGUGCAGUCAUCCUUCACAGGUUGCUUUGAACAGCAGAACAAGUCAAUGCAUGUUGAGGCUGGAACAAUGAUUUGAAAUCUCACAUGGAGUAAGUCUGUGAUUCAUGCAGUUAGAAUGGUUUGGGUUGAAAGGUGUGUCUAAGAUCACCUGGUUUCAAGCUUCCCAGUUUAAUGAAGACAGCUUCAUCCAGGAUGCUUCUCAAGUUCAAGCAGUAAUGAAGUUUGUUCAGUGCAGUCACUCCAUCUUUCCUGAAACAAUCUCCUGGUAGUUCAGCUAUAAGAUCUUCAGACAUCUAAGAAACAUGCUGUAAAGAACUGCAACAAGACCUUUGGUUUUCCAUAUUGCAUAGAAACUUUGUCUUGGCAAGAGAAUGCAUGCUUGUGAAAGGGACACUUCUUUUGUUUUAGAUAUUUUCAGAUGUAAGUAAUCCUUCUACAUUCAGUAUUCAUUUAGUAUCCUUCUACUUGUCUAUUUCAAUCUUGUUGUGGUGGCCGUGUGUUCCUCAUCUCUGAGCUGAUGCACUGUGAGUUCAAUAUUGUUGAAUAGGGAUUUUCAUGCCUUUGAAGUCUUCUCUGUGUCAGAAUGAGGAGGUUACCAUAUAGUGCUGGAUUUCACACAGUAAUGAAUGCUAGUAGA